UGUCUGGCAAACAGCUUUGCAUUAGAUGUCGAGAGAUUAAAAUCAAAGCUUAGCUCACCAUUUCCCAGUACCCUAGGAAAACCCUCCCCACGAGGGGCCUCAGUUUCCCCAUUUUUAACUUAAAUGAGUUGUGCUCAUAGGCAGUCUUCUAGAGCGGAGAGGACUUUGGUGGUGCCCUCUUACUGUGCAUCUCCACUCAGAUGAACUGUCCAAGGUCACUCAGUGCUAGAGGACACCCAGGAAUGCUCUCCAGCUCUCAGAUCUUGCUCCUGGAAGCCGCCGCCGGCAGCGAAGGGAGUCACUGAAAGCCUGGGGAGUGGGCGGAGCCCGGAGGCAGAUACCUUGAGGUUGGAGAGCUGCCCAAAGCUCUUGCUGCACACGUUGCACUGGUACAGGAUUUUGCCGUUUUCUUUCUUCAGUGGAAGGAAGAGGUGAGGCCUGGUCGUGACCUCUACCCUCCAUCAGCCACCAUCUGCCUGUGUGACCUUGGGAACGUGACUGAGCUCCUAUGAGCCUCUCUCCUCACCUGUACCCACAGUUACUGCACCCACUUCGCUGGAGGGUAAAGAGAGCCCAGUGGGGCGGAUGGGGUUCCAUUCUACAGAUGAAGAACUGAGCUCCAAAGAUGAGAAUUAACCUGUCUGAAGACACACAGGCAGUAAGCAAAACAGCACAGAAAAGGAAAUAAAGUUGGCAGAUCAGCCCGAAUCACGCAACAGCCUAACUCCAGAGUCACAUCCUUGAGUAACUCAUGAAAACACUUGUGAACGUGGGCAGAAGAAUCGGAGCCACUGCUUCAAGUGAAUGUCUUUUGAUUUUUCUUGAAUAUGUUCUCUCCUGGAUCAAAACUCUAGGGCCCUGGGACGGUUGGUGAAAUCUGAACAUAGAUCAGAUCUUAGUGCUCUACCUGUGCUUAGUUCUGUGUUCCUGAUAUGGAGGGUUGCAUGUCGGUUAUUUAGAAGCCUCUAUUCGAAGACAGCGUGGACUUGGGCCAGGAUUUAGCUCAGCAGCAAGCGCCUGCCUGUCAGGUAUAAGGUUGUGAGUUUAAUCCCUGGUACCAAAAAAAUAAAAUCAAAUAAAAGACAAUGUGCACUGAA